rnacentral:rRNA from 1 species
GAACUGAAGAGUUUGAUCCUGGCUCAGAUUGAACGCUGGCGGCAUGCCUUACACAUGCAAGUCGAACGGUAACGCGGGGCAACCUGGCGACGAGUGGCGAACGGGUGAGU